rnacentral:lncRNA from 1 species
CCAAACAUGCAAGGUGGUUAGCAUAGCAGUUGCCUUCCCGAAGAAUAUGUCGGACUUUAUCACCCAACCUUUUCGGAUCAAUACCAAGUAAUCUUUAACGAAAGUGCCCAACGGAUGAGAAGCUUCAAAAGGUCGAGAUAGCAGAUUCACCACCCAAAGUGCAUCAAGUUCCAAAAUUAAACUAGUAACAUCCAGCCCUUAGCCAUCCGAAAGCCUUUC